AAGUCGUAACAAGGUUUCCGUAGGUGAACCUGCGGAAGGAUCAUUCAUAAUAAGUGUUUUACUGCACUUUUUAAAAAUAGUACUCACCUUGUGUGCAAUGUUGUGUGAAGUUCUCUCGAGAAAUUCACACCUACACCAACCUAUAAUUUUGAACCACUUUGUCUGAAAAACUAUUAUGAAUACUUAAUUCAAAAUACAACUUUCAACAACGGAUCUCUUGGCUCUC
rnacentral:misc_RNA from 1 species